GGAUUCAUCCGUUGGUCGGGCUUCACGGUCCGCACUGGUGUGAUGGGUUCCUACCUUCUGAAUAACCGGCAUGCCAUUAAUUUGGUGCGCCGGGGAAGCAGGACUGUUACCUUGAAAAAAUUAGAGUGCUUAAAGCAGGCUAUCGCCUGAAUACAUUAGCACGGAAUAAUGAAAUAAGACGGCAUGGUUCUAUUUUGUUGGUUUCCAGGAUCACCGUA
rnacentral:rRNA from 1 species